rnacentral:rRNA from 1 species
AGAGUUUGAUCCUGGCUCACGAUGAACGCUAGCUACAGGCUUAACACAUGCAAGUCGAGGGGCAGCAUGACGAUAGCUUGCUAUUGUUGAUGGCGACCGGCGCACGGGUGAGUAACGCGUAUCCAACCUUCCCAUAGCUAGGGAAUAACCUUGCGAAAGUAAGACUAAUGCCCUAUAACAUUCUUUGCAGACAUCUAAAGAGAAUUAAAGAUUUAUCGGCUAUGGAUGGGGAUGCGUCUGAUUAGGUUGUUGGCGGGGUAACGGCCCACCAAGCCCACGAUCAGUAGGGGUUCUGAGAGGAAGGUCCCCCACAUUGGAACUGAGACACGGUCCAAACUCCUACGGGAGGCAGCAGUGAGGAAUAUUGGUCAAUGGACGAAAGUCUGAACCAGCCAAGUAGCGUGCAGGACGACGGCCCUAUGGGUUGUAAACUGCUUUUAUAUGGGAAUAAAGUGAGCGACGUGUCGUUUUUUGUAGGUACCAUAUGAAUAAGGACCGGCUAAUUCCGUGCCAGCAGCCGCGGUAAUACGGAAGGUCCAGGCGUUAUCCGGAUUUAUUGGGUUUAAAGGGAGCGUANGCCGUUUUUUAAGCGUGUUGUGAAAUACUGUCGCUCAACGACAGAGGUGCAGCGCGAACUGGAGGACUUGAGUGCGCGGAAUGUAGGCGGAAUUCGUCGUGUAGCGGUGAAAUGCUUAGAUAUGACGAAGAACUCCGAUUGCGAAGGCAGCUUACAGUAGCGUAACUGACGCUGAAGCUCGAAAGUGCGGUAUCGAACAGGAUUAGAUACCUGUGUAGUCCGCACGGUAAACGAUGGAUGCUCGCUGUGUGCUUUUGGGUACGCGGCCAAGCGAAAGCGUUAAGCAUCCCACCUGGGGAGUACGCCGGCAACGGUGAAACUCAAAGGAAUUGACGGGGGCCCGCACAAGCGGAGGAACAUGUGGUUUAAUUCGAUGAUACGCGAGGAACCUUACCCGGGCUUGAAUUGCAGAGGAAGGAUUUAGAGAUAAUGACGCCCUUCGGGGCCUCUGUGAAGGUGCUGCAUGGUUGUCGUCAGCUCGUGCCGUGAGGUGUCGGCUUAAGUGCCAUAACGAGCGCAACCCCUCUCCGUAGUUGCCAUCAGGUAGUGCUGGGCACUCUGCGGACACUGCCGCCGUAAGGUGUGAGGAAGGUGGGGAUGACGUCAAAUCAGCACGGCCCUUACGUCCGGGGCUACACACGUGUUACAAUGGGUCAUACAGAGUGUUGUGCGUAUGCAAAUACGUUCUAAUCAUUAAAAUGAUCCUCAGUUCGGAUUGGGGUCUGCAACCCGACCCCAUGAAGCUGGAUUCGCUAGUAAUCGCGCAUCAGCCAUGGCGCGGUGAAUACGUUCCCGGGCCCUUGUACACAGCGCCCGUC